rnacentral:rRNA from 1 species
AGCGAACGCUGGCGGCAGGCUUAACACAUGCAAGUCGAACGGGCGUAGCAAUACGUCAGUGGCAGACGGGUGAGUAACGCGUGGGAACGUACCUUUUGGUUCGGAACAACCCAGGGAAACUUGGGCUAAUACCGGAUAAGCCCUUACGGGGAAAGAUUUAUCGCCGAAAGAUCGGCCCGCGUCUGAUUAGCUAGUUGGUGUGGUAACGGCGCACCAAGGCGACGAUCAGUAGCUGGUCUGAGAGGAUGAUCAGCCACAUUGGGACUGAGACACGGCCCAAACUCCUACGGGAGGCAGCAGUGGGGAAUAUUGGACAAUGGGCGCAAGCCUGAUCCAGCCAUGCCGCGUGAGUGAUGAAGGCCCUAGGGUUGUAAAGCUCUUUUGUGCGGGAAGAUAAUGACGGUACCGCAAGAAU